GACGAACGCUGGCGGCGUGCUUAACACAUGCAAGUCGAACGAAGUGGCGAACGGGUGAGUAACGCGUAAUCAACCUGCCCUUCAGAGGGGGAUAACAGUUGGAAACGACUGCUAAUCCCGCAUACUGAAGGAGGGGAUUGCGUCUGUUUAGCUAGUUGGGGGGGUAACGGCCCACCAAGGCGAGGAUCAGUAGCCGGGCUGAGAGGAUGAACGGGCAAAUUGGGACGGGGACACGGCCCAGACUACUACGGGAGGCAGCAGUGGGGAAUCUUCCGCAAUGGACGAAAGUCUGACGGAGCAACGCCGCGUGAGUGAUGACGGCCUUCGGGUUGUAAAGCUCUGUUAAUCGGGACGCGGUACCGGAAUAGAAAGCCACGGCUAACUACGUGCCAGCAGCCGCGGUAAUUC
rnacentral:rRNA from 1 species